AUGGAGCGAUGCUCCAUCCCUACUGCCACCUCUCUCUACUGCCUCCUGCUGGUGGCUCUGGUGACAUGCCCCACCCGGUGUGACCCCAAUGAGCAGAACUGGGAGGAGCUAAAUGAGAUGCAGGUAGAGGCGCUUUCUGCCCAGCUGUCCGUCACAGCCCAGGCCACACCCACUCCUCUCUGGGCAGUGGACUGGGGCCCAACUCAGACCCUCGAGGAUGAGACACAACACUUCCUGCCCAGCCAGGAAGGGGACCACUGGCAGGCGUCGACAGAUGAGACCUUGCCACAUCACAAGAACACGCUCACCACCCACACACAACAGCAACUUCCGUCCCUAGAGGCAAAGGAUGUGGUGACUGGCAAAGACAGCAAGACGGAGGCCGAAGAGGAGUUUGAAGAAGUGGAUCCUCAGUUCUAUGUCACAGUGACCAUCUCAUCUGUGCUGAUUCUCGCAGCUGUCAUCAUAACUGCCAAACUCUGUUACGACCGCAGCUGUUCCCGGCACCCACCCCCGCUCUCCCUCGGCGGGGCUCCCCCCCUAUCGCUCGCCAUCCCUCGCUCCCUCGCUCAGGAGGACAGUAGGCAGACGCUGCACAGCACCCCCUCCUUCAGCGACAGGGAGAGGAUUCCUGUGGUCAAUCUCUAA
rnacentral:lncRNA from 1 species